rnacentral:rRNA from 1 species
CUCCUACGGGAGGCCGCAGUAAGGAAUAUUGGUCAAUGGACGCAAGUCUGAACCAGCCAUGCCGCGUGGAGGAUUAAGGCCCUCUGGGUUGUAAACUCCUUUUAUCUGGGAAGAAAUCCCGCAUUCCUGCGGGGUUGACGGUACCAGAGGAAUAAGCACCGGCUAACUCCGUGCCAGCAGCCGCGGUAAUAC